CGUAGGGGGCAAGCGUUGUCCGGAUUUAUUGGGCGUAAAGAGCGUGUAGGCGGCUUGGUAGGUCCGCUGUGAAAACUCGAGGCUCAACCUCGAGAUGUCGGCGGAAACCACUUGGCUAGAGUCCGGAAGAGGAGAGUGGAAUUCCCGGUGUAGCGGUGAAAUGCGCAGAUAUCGGGAAGAACACCUAUGGCGAAGGCAGCUCUCUGGGACGGUACUGACGCUGAGACGCGAAAGCGUGGGGAGCGAACAGGAUUAGAUACCCUGGUAGUCCACGCCGUAAACGAUGGGUGCUAGGUGUGGGCGGUGUCGACUCCGUCCGUGCCGAAGCUAACGCAUUAAGCACCCCGCCUGGGGAGUACGGCCGCAAGGCUA
rnacentral:rRNA from 1 species